GCCACGGACACCGUGAGCAGGGAGCGGGGAGAGGAGGAACGAUCGAUCCGGUGCUGCCGCCUCCUCACGCACCGCCGUUUUCCCAUGGACAUCUGGAAGGCAGAUGAAUUUGAGGUCAGCCAUUUGCCAGGAGCAAUAUGCAUUGAACCUCAGAACAAUGGUCUACAAGGAGGAUCUUCACAAAGCCAGGGCUGGGAUCAGGAUGAUAACAGAAAUAAGAAGGGCUGCUUUUCUGGUCUGUCCAGUCAGUGAAGAUCUCAAACUACUCAGCAGCCUCCAAGAGCAGGUUCAGCUUGCUCCAUGUCCCAGUCUCCAGCCUUCGAUCCAGUACAAACUGUCAAACAACAGAUCAACUGGUGAUUCCACACACAAGCGAUAGGAUCAAGCCCAGAGAACAUGAAUUCAGAUAAGGUUGGAAUGAAUGACCCUGCACUCAAAUUGGAAUGUAAGAGCAAGGGAAUCUGACUCACAACCAAGAAGGUAGAGGAUGAAAAAGAUUCUAAAAACUUACUUUU